UACGAAGGGGGACUAGCGUUGUUCGGAAUCACUGGGCGUAAAGCGCACGUAGGCGGAUAUGUCAGCCAGGGGUGAAAUCCCGGGGCUCAACCUCGGAACUGCCCUUGAUACAGCAUAUCUUGAGUCCGAUAGAGGUGGGUGGAAUUCCUAGUGUAGAGGUGAAAUUCGUAGAUAUUAGGAAGAACACCGGUGGCGAAGGCGGCCCACUGGAUCGGUACUGACGCUGAGGUGCGAAAGCGUGGGGGAGCAAACAGG
rnacentral:rRNA from 1 species